CCUACGGGUGGCAGCAGUGAGGAAUAUUGGUCAAUGGACGCAAGUCUGAACCAGCCAUGCCGCGUGCAGGAAGACGGCUCUAUGAGUUGUAAACUGCUUUUGUACGAGGGUAAACGCAGAUACGCGUAUCUGUCUGAAAGUAUCGUACGAAUAAGGAUCGGCUAACUCCGUGCCAGCAGCCGCGGUAAUACGGAGGAUUCAAGCGUUAUCCGGAUUUAUUGGGUUUAAAGGGUGCGUAGGCGGCAGGAUAAGUUAGUGGUGAAAUCACGAGGCUCAACUUAGAAAUUGCCGCUGAUACUGGUAGGCUAGAGAGUAGUUGCGGUAGGCGGAAUGUAUGGGGUAGCGGUGAAAUGCUUAGAGAUCAUACAGAACACCGAUUGCGAAGGCAGCUUACCAAGCUACUUCUGACGUUGAGGCACGAAAGCGUGGGGAGCAAACAGGAUUAGAUACCCGAGUAGUC
rnacentral:rRNA from 1 species